rnacentral:rRNA from 1 species
GUCUCGUGGUGAAAUCCUGCAGCUUAACUGUGGGAAUGCUGGAGAUACUAUUAGACUGAGACCGGGAGAGGUUAGAGGUACUCCCAGGGUAGAGGUGAAAUUCUGUAAUCCUGGGAGGACCGCCUGUUAGCGAAGGCGUCUAACUGGAACGGUUCUGACGGUGAGGGACGAAAGUUAGGGGCGCGAACCGGAUUAGAUACCCGGGUAGUCCUAACUGUAAACGAUGCGGACUUGGUGUUGGGGUGGCUUUGAGCUGCUUCAGUGCCGAAGGGAAGCUGUUAAGUCCGCCGCCUGGGAAGUACGGUCGCAAGACUGAAACUUAAAGGAAUUGGCGGGGGAGUACCACAACGCGUGGAGCCUGCGGGUUUUAAAUUGGAUUCAACGCCGGACAUCUCACCAGAGGCGACAGCUGUAUGAUAGCCAGGUUGAUGACUUUGCUUGACUAGCUGAGAGGAGUGGUGCAUGG